UCCCGUUUAGCUCAGUUGGUAGAGCGCGUCACUAGUACUUGCUUACGAGCAAGUCAUGACGAGGUCAGUCGUUCGAGUCGGCUAAUGGGAA